rnacentral:tRNA from 1 species
GGGGCUGUGGAUUAGUGGUCAAGCAUCUGUUUUGUAUACAGAAGGUACCAGGUUCAAUUCCCACCAUCUCUG